rnacentral:rRNA from 1 species
CCUACGGGAGGCAGCAGUGAGGAAUAUUGGUCAAUGGGCGCGAGCCUGAACCAGCCAAGUCGCGUGAGGGAGGACGGCCCUACGGGUUGUAAACCUCUUUUGCCGGGGAGCAACGGGCGUCACGUGUGGCGCCACUGAGAGUACCCGGAGAAAAAGCAUCGGCUAACUCCGUGCCAGCAGCCGCGGUAAUACGGAGGAUGCGAGCGUUAUCCGGAUUUAUUGGGUUUAAAGGGUGCGUAGGCGGAUCGUUAAGUCAGUGGUCAAAUUGAGGGGCUCAACCCCUUCCCGCCAUUGAAACUGGCGCUCUUGAGUGGAAGAGAAGUAUGCGGAAUGCGUGGUGUAGCGGUGAAAUGCAUAGAUAUAACUUAGAACUCCGAUAGCGAAGGCAGCUUACCAGACUGCGACUGACGCUGAAGCACGAGAGCGUGGGUAGCGAACAGGAUUAGAUACCCGAGUAGUC